AGUGAACGCUGGCGGUAGGCCUAACACAUGCAAGUCGAACGGCAGCACAGUAAGAGCUUGCUCUUACGGGUGGCGAGUGGCGGACGGGUGAGGAAUACAUCGGACUCUACUUUUUCGUGGGGGAUAACGUAGGGAGACUUACGCUAAUACCGCAUACGACCUACGGGUGAAAGCAGGGGAUCUUCGGACCUUGCGCGAUUGAAUGAGCCGAUGUCGGAUUAGCUAGUUGGCGGGGUAAAGGCCCACCAGGGCGACGAUCCGUAGCUGGUCUGAGAGGAUGAUCAGCCACACUGGAACUGAGACACGGUCCAGACUCCUACGGGAGGCAGCAGUGGGGAAUAUUGGACAAUGGGCGCAAGCCUGAUCCAGCCAUACCGCGUGGGUGAAGAAGGCCUUCGGGUUGUAAAGCCCUUUUGUUGGGAAAGAAAAGCAGCAGGUUAAUACCCCGCUGUUCUGACGGUACCCAAAGAAUAAGCACCGGCUAACUUCGUG
rnacentral:rRNA from 1 species